rnacentral:rRNA from 1 species
CAGCAGUGGGGAAUCUUCCGCAAUGGACGAAAGUCUGACGGAGCAACGCCGCGUGAGUGAUGAAGGUCUUCGGAUUGUAAAGCUCUGUUAAUCGGGACGAAAGAGUUCUGUGUAAAUAAUGCAGAAAAGUGACGGUACCGGAAUAGAAAGCCACGGCUAACUACGUGCCAGCAGCCGCGGUAAUACGUAGGUGGCAAGCGUUGUCCGGAAUUAUUGGGCGUAAAGCGCGCGCAGGCGGCCUAUCCAGUCUGUCUUAAAAGUUCGGGGCUCAACCCCGUGAUGGGAUGGAAACUAGUAGGCUAGAGUAUCGGAGAGGAAAGCGGAAUUCCUAGUGUAGCGGUGAAAUGCGUAGAUAUUAGGAAGAACACCAGUGGCGAAGGCGGCUUUCUGGACGAAAACUGACGCUGAGGCGCGAAAGCCAGGGGAGCGAACGGGAUUAGA